AUUGAACGCUGGCGGCAUGCCUUACACAUGCAAGUCGAACGGCAGCACGGGGGCAACCCUGGUGGCGAGUGGCGGACGGGUGAGUAAAGCAUCGGAACGUAUCCUGGAGUGGGGGGAUAACGUAGCGAAAGUUACGCUAAUACCGCAUAUUCUGUGAGCAGGAAAGCAGGGGAUCGCAAGACCUUGCGCUCUGGGAGCGGCCGAUGUCGGAUUAGCUAGUUGGUGGGGUAAAGGCCUACCAAGGCGACGAUCCGUAGCGGGUCUGAGAGGAUGAUCCGCCACACUGGGACUGAGACACGGCCCAGACUCCUACGGGAGGCAGCAGUGGGGAAUUUUGGACAAUGGGCGCAAGCCUGAUCCAGCCAUGCCGCGUGAGUGAAGAAGGCCU
rnacentral:rRNA from 1 species